CCCUUAGAUGUUCUGGGCCGCACACGCGCUACACUGGAGGAGGCAGCGUGUACUCCUGGAUCGAAAGAUUUGGGUAACCCGCGAAUCUCCUUCGUGCUAGGGAUUGAGGUUUGCAAUUAUCCUUCAUGAACGAGGAAUUCCCAGUAAGUGCAAGUCAUAAGCUUGCGCUGACUACGUCCCUGCCCUUUGUACACACCGCCCGUCGCUACUACCGAUUGAAUGAUUUAGUGAGGACUUCGGACUGGGACCGAUGCGGCUUUCGGGCUGCGUCGGUAUUCUGGAAAGAUGUCCAAACUGUAUCAUUUAGAGGAAGUAAAANUCGUAACA
rnacentral:rRNA from 1 species